GAUGAACGCUGGCGGCGUGCCUAACACGUGCAAGUCGAGCGAUUCUCUUCGGAGAAGAGCGGCGGACGGGUGAGUAACGCGUGGGUAACCUGCCCUGUACACACGGAUAACAUACCGAAAGGUAUGCUAAUACGGGAUAACAUAAGAAAUUCGCAUGUUUUUCUUAUCAAAGCUCCGGCGGUACAGGAUGGACCCGCGUCUGAUUAGCUAGUUGGUGAGGUAACGGCUCACCAAGGCGACGAUCAGUAGCCGACCUGAGAGGGUGAUCGGCCACAUUGGAACUGAGACACGGUCCAAACUCCUACGGGAGGCAGCAGUGGGGAAUAUUGCACAAUGGGCGAAAGCCUGAUGCAGCAACGCCGCGUGAGCGAUGAAGGCCUUCGGGUCGCAAAGCUCUGUCCUCAAGGAAGAUAAUGACGGUA
rnacentral:rRNA from 1 species